ensembl:snRNA U2 U2 spliceosomal RNA
AUUGCUUCUCAGCCUUUUGGCUAAGAUCAAGUGUAAAAGCUUCUGAUAUCCUUCCCUGAAUCUUUAUGUAAAUUAUUUACCAAUGAUGCAUCUUGCCUGAUUGAUAUCUCAAGAAUUUGGGUAUUUUCACUUUUACCCUCACUAUCAGUGAGUGGUGGAAGUCAGAG